GGAGGAAUCCAUUCAACAUGGCGGACACUCGAGAGCGGCAGGAUUCAACGCAUGGAAUAACUUUGUGAACUGGUUGCUUGCUGAGAUUGAUGCUUGCUGAACAAAGCCUCAACAAACAGCCUCAACAAUCGAGGAUUUCCAUGAUGCCAACAUGAAGCGCACUUUAGCCCUUCGUGCAAUCCCAGUAUACUUGCGUGAGUAGGACCCACAGGUCUUUAAGACGUGGAAUGUAAGU